CGUAGGGACCGAGCGUUGUCCGGAUUCAUUGGGCGUAAAGAGCUCGUAGGCGGCCACUCAAGUCGAAUGUGAAACCUCGAGGCUUAACCUCGAGCCUGCAUUCGAUACUGGGCGGCUAGAGUCUGGUAGGGGGAUCUGGAAUUCCUGGUGUAGCGGUGGAAUGCGCAGAUAUCAGGAGGAACACCGGUGGCGAAGGCGGGAUCCUGGGCCAGUACUGACGCUGAGGAGCGAAAGCGUGGGGAGCAAACAGGAUUAGAUACCCUGGUAGUCCACGCCGUAAACGAUGGGCGCUAGGUGUGGGAGGUCAUCGACUCCUUCCGUGCCGCAGCUAACGCAUUAAGCGCCCCGCCUGGGGAGUACGGCCGCAAGGCUAA
rnacentral:rRNA from 1 species